UGAUUGCAGAGGCGAAGAGACCC
rnacentral:piRNA from 1 species